AAGCUGAGCCUCAAACAGAGCAAUUUGUUCCUGGAGCUGGUGGACUCUCCUUGUCAGCUGGUCCAGGAAAAGGUCCUACAGAGUCAGACCAAACAGUCCAGGUUUGCACAGAAUUCUGCAGGAGCAGUACCCCGUGAUUGUGUCCUGGAAGGCAGCAGAGGGAGCUCCAGCACCGACCGGCCCUGCUCAUUCCCCAGGUUCACUUUCCAUUGUGAAAUUCUGUGAUUCAGAAUAAUUUUCAAGACCUGUAUACAUGAUAUUUCUCCAUUAAAUAUCCUCCUUCCCUUACA